UUUCUUAACUAAUCCCUGGAAUUAGGGACCACUGCAGCCAGUCAACAUGUCCAAAAACUCUGUCACUAGAAUCCCUGAACAAAACAAACAGGACACACAGUUCCCAAUGGAACUAACAUGCAACAGAGGCUACAGACUAGCCUGUAUGCACAUUAAAUUACACUUAUGGUGACACAAUGAAACCAAUACAUAAAGAAUAAUCAUAUGGGAUAUCAUACAGGCACUCAUAUAACACAAUGCAAUAUUUAUAAAGGGUU